rnacentral:rRNA from 1 species
AAUGAACGUUGGCGGCGUGGAUUAGGCAUGCAAGUCGCGCGACAAGGUUCCUUCGGGGACUGGAGGAGCGGCAAACGGGGUAGUAAGGCAUCGGAACGUACCCUCUCGUCUGGGAUAGCCACGGGAAACUGUGAGUAAUACCGGAUGAUAUCGAGAGAUCAAAGGUCCGCCGCGAGGGGAGCGGCCGAUGUGAUACCAGCUAGUUGGUAGGGUAAUGGCCUACCAAGGCUUAGACGUCUAGGGGGUGUGAGAGCAUGGCCCCCACCACUGGGACGUGAGAUACUGCCCACGACACCUACGGGUGGGCUG